CUUGCCCGGGAACUACGAGCCCCAGCUUAAAACCCAAAGGACUUGGCGGUGCUUUAGACCCCCCUAGAGGAGCCUGUUCUAGAACCGAUAAUCCCCGUUAAACCUCACCCUCUCUUGUUUUUCCCGCCUAUAUACCGCCGUCGUCAGCUCACCCUGUGAAGGUUAAACAGUGAGCAUAAUUGGUACUACCUAAAACGCCAGGUCGAGGUGUAGCGUACGAGAGGGGAAGAAAUGGGCUACAUUCACUGAAUCAGUGUACUACGGACGAUAGCUUGAAAAUUCCAUCUGAAGGAGGAUUUAGCAGUAAGGGGCGAAAUAGAGCGUCCCCCUGAAACUGGCCCUGAAGCGCGCACACACCGCCCGUCACUCUCCCCAAGCAAUAAAACACCAGAUAAAUAAAACAAACACUAAACAAAGGGGAGGCAAGUCGUAACAUGGUAAGUGUACCGGAAGGUGCACUUGGACAAAC
rnacentral:rRNA from 1 species